rnacentral:rRNA from 1 species
AACUUUCAACGACGGAUCUCUAGGUUCUCGCAUCGAUGAAGAACGCAGCGAAAUGCGAUACGUAGUACGAAACGCAAGUCGUGAAUCAUCGAAUCUUUGAACGCACAUUGCGCUGUGUGGCAUUCCACACAGCAUGCCUGUUUGAGCGUCCUUUC